GUGUCAGCCGCCGCGGUAAGGCGAAGGGGGCUAGCGUUGUUCGGAAUUACUGGGCGUAAAGCGAGUGUAGGUGGUUGUUCAAGUUGGAUGUGGAAGCCUUGAGCUCAACUCAAGAAAUGCAUUCAGGACUGAGCGACUAGAGGACCGGAGAGGAUAGUGGAAUUCCCAGUGUAGUGGUGAAAUACGUAGAGAUUGGGAAGAACACCAGUGGCGAAGGCGGCUAUCUGGACGGUUUCUGACACUAAGACUCGAAAGCGUGGGGAGCAAACAGGAUUAGAUACCCUGGUAGUCCACGCCGUAAACGAUGGGUGCUAGACGUUGGCGAGCUUGCUCGUCAGUGUCGCAGCUAACGCGUUAAGCACCCCGCCUGGGGAGUACGGCCGCAAGGUUGAAACUCAAAUGAAUUGACGG
rnacentral:rRNA from 1 species